GCGCUUCGUGUAUGAUCGUCUGUGUAUUUCAUGUAAUAGAACCCCUGAAUUUGCAGAAAGUAAAGAAAAUGUCGGAUUUUCCCGAUUUUCUUUUUAGUUUUGCGCCCCGCGCAGGUAAUUUCAUAAUGUCAUCAGACUGAGGUAAACAAAAAUGUCGGAUUCCAGCGACAAGGAUUAAAUAAUUAUUCUAAUGACGGUAAGAAUUGUUUUUUUUU
rnacentral:lncRNA from 1 species